UGCACAUAUUCUGCCAUCAUUCGCUGCAAAGACUGCAUGCCAGAGGAGUGGCUGUGUAUGGAUUGCGACAUCCGCAUCCAUGUAAAACUCGCACUCCAUAUCAGGGAGUUCUGCAUCGAUGUGAUUUACAAGCCCAUUGACCCAACAGAGUGCUGUAUGCAAAAAGAUGGAAGAUACACACUGUUCAAACAAGGUAGAAAUUUGUCUGUUCUUCAACCUGUCCAGUUGUGCACUUGUGGCCCUGCAAACAUUGCAGAAUUAGCUGGCAGAGCAAUAAUUCUGGUUUGCAUAAAUGGUCGCUUUGAUUUGCACUUGCCACACUUGCUGUCUGGCACAGUGGACACCUGACAGGAGUGACCUCAUUCGAUGUGGGUAUUGGCCAGCAUCCGUAAAUGCUGACACAUUGUUUGCUGUGGACGUCUUCAGCACCUUUGAAGAGAUGAAAACUGUGGCACCCAGUUUGUCGAGACAAGGGUUUUUGCAUAUGUUGGAGAGGAGGACAUGUCACUAUGGAAGGGCUGGGAAAAUACAUGGAGACGUAUUCCAAAGGAGUUUCAUGGAGUACACAUUCUGCCAGUAUCAAUGUGAGAAAAUGGCCAGUGUAGAGCACUUCACCUGCCCGGCAUGUACACCCAACAUGCUUGCUGUCUGUACAAAUGGCAACAGGAAACAGUACCGAUUUCGACAGUCAAAGGUUUUUUUUUUUUAUAUACUUUGUAAAAUGAAAUAAACAAAUCAUGUCUGAAGCUAAACAUACUAUUUUUUUUCUUAUUCCAUUAAGGUCAGAGGAACCAUAUUUUGAUGGCACCUUCAUUGCUAAAGACACUGAUGUGCACCAAUUUGUUGAGGAUAUCAGGAGUAACAUGAAAAGUAAUACUGGCAGAGGAACCUGUGGAGACAGUCAGUGGUCUGCUGCACGUGAGACUGCCAGAUGAGCAAACAAACUGGAUGAAGAGGGCCUUGAGGUGGCUGUUUGCACACACGGAGUGCUACUCAAAGCCCUCAACAUGUACAGGGGGGAAAUAUUUGCAUAUCCACUGUUCCUGCA